rnacentral:rRNA from 1 species
AUGAACAUUGCCCUCCUCUCCCGCUGGCUCUGGCGCAUCUCACAAGGGCAUGGCGGUCUGUGGUUAGACAUCAUCCAGAAUAAAUACUUGCGUGGCCAACCUCUGGCCUUCUGCCAACGGUCGGGUGGGUCCCAGUUCUGGCAGUCGGUCAUCCAACUGCUCCCCGUCCUCCGCAUUGGGACUUCCAUCUCGGUCGGAUCGGGAGCAGCGACCUUGUUCUGGUUUGACCGAUGGGCGGGUGACGCCCCCUUCGCGACCCGCUUUCCCGACCUCUUCUCCAUCGCUGUCGUCCCUACAAUCUCAGUUCAACAGGCCCUUAUUGACUUAGGGCGCCUCGCGUUCCGGAGGCCAUUUGGGCCUCCGGAAGUGGCCGCCUGGCAUGAGCUUCUUGAUUGUAUUGCUCUCCAUGAGCCGACUGUCGAUGCUGGCCCGGAUGAGGUUCAGUGGCGCCUUGAGCCUUCGGGUCAAUUCUCCACCAAGUCCCUGUACGCGGCUAUCGCCCCUUCCUCCGCCCCUCCAGACGGUUUGGUCCAUUCGCCUGCCCCUUAA